AGCCAGUGAAGGAAAGAAGUAGUAGAGAAUGGGAGUUUCUGCAAGAGUCCAAAGAAACAAAAAAAAAAAAACCCAAAACUGUAAUAAUGGUAACAAGGAGAGAGUAAAGGGGAAAGGAUAAAAAUAACCAUUGUAGUUGACCAUAUUUUUAACUAUUUCUAUUUUCCCAUUUUCAGAUUUGAACACUUAUUUGACUCCUAUGGAGUAUUGUAAGCAAAAGUAGAGAAAACACAUGAAUAGAAAAACUGAGCAGGGAUUUACUCGUUUUCUUCUGCUCUUGGAAAACAUGGAAGAUGUGGAAACAGGUGCAGAUCUGGGGAUGGAAAAUGCAAGCACUGGGGCCAGGGCUGUGGCUCAGUGGCCGAGCGCUUCCCUAGCCUUCCCUUCGUGAGGCACUGGGUUUGAUCCCUGGCACCGUAUAAAAAUAAAAGCAAAUAAAUAAAUAUAUUGUGUCCAUCUACAACUAAAAAAAAAAAAACCUAUUUUUUAAAAGGACACCUCAUGGGAGGCUGUCCCAUUAGGCCUUCCCCACCUACAUGUUUCUAGCAGUGAACGAAUAAGUGGGAGUCUCAGGGUGAAUGAACUUCAAAUCCAAAUGAAAACAUCUGCCAUCAUUUAAAUGUCAGCUGAAAAAGAAAUUCUGCUCUACAACACUCAUCUGUUUUCUUACUCUUUUAACCACUUAAGAUCAUAAAAUCCAUAGGAUUCUCUGAAUAACGAAUGCAGUCAGCAUGGUUGGACUUUGUAGAAACUUGAGUGGCGCUGCUCAAAGGGGUAUUUUAUUAAGAAACUGUGACUUGAGUGGAAUACAGUGGAAGGCAUGCUGGCCUGGAAGUGCCCACAAACCAGCCGAGACCUUGAUGAAGCCCACGUCAAGCCCAAGAUUCCUCCAUCGAAUGAGGCAAUAAGAGACUUGUCCUCACUACACGGCUUGAUUCUGCAAGGACAGAUCUGAGAGGGAAAGUCAAAGAUCUGAGGUGCUCCUGGAGGUUGACACACCUGGAGACACUGGAGCAUAAGUGGGGGGGGGGGAGGAGUGCAGGCAGAAGUCCCGGCAGUCCCAGUGACUGCUGCCCCCCAUCUGUCUCUCCUGAAGCCACUAAACCCUGCCCUGCCUCGCGCAAUAACCCGCCACGCGGUUCCUGCACUCACUACCUGCACCUCCUGGGAAUGCGCAGCUGUGGCCUUUCAGCUCCCGAGGGGUCAGCGGUGACCGGGUCCCCGCUGCUGAUGGUUGCUGCUCUGGACGGAUCUGGGUGCAGCCGAUUCCGAGGGCCAUUACGGGUCCAGAGGAGAACCGGGACUACGGUUCCUGGGGCCAUUAUUGCUCCCGAGCAGGCCGAGGCGCGGAUGCUUCCAGAGGCCACUGCUGCUCCCAGGCUUCCGACCUCCCCUCGCCAAGCAGGUGUGCUCCAAGGGCCCAGGCCGCGCCUCCCUCCAGGUCCCAGAGUCUCCAGCUCCGGACUCAGCACUGCGGCUUGAGGGUGGACCCGGCGGCUCCGGUGGGUCUUCACUCCUUAGGGAAUGUCGAAAAUGUCUCCGCCUCAUCCAGGGGUUCAGAGGCGCUUUGCUGUGAGCCCCUGGCCGCCGGGAACCGCGCGCUCAUUUGUCUCUAGUCCCUUUCUGCGUUCGGUGGCUGGCCGCGUGUUUGGUCCAGGAGCCAAGGUCCUCUCUUUGCACAGAGCCUCGAGUUGUGACAUGAAGGAGAGAAUGUGUCCUAUUCACUGAACCAAGAUGCUAGAAGAAGUUCCCCCUCAAAGUCUAGGCUAUUCCAGAUGCCCAGCAUUGCUUUCCAAGGAAAGGAAAGAAGACCGAAACCGUGGCUUUUCCAGAUGGCACAACGAACGCGCUUCGACUGCAAAAGAAAAAAAAAAAAACAGCACACACAAACGAAAAAGAACACCUGUGGCCAUGCCUCACCAAGGUCACGUUUAGGGUUAGCUCAAGAAACUGAGCUUGUCAACUUCAGUAACCGAUUGUUUCUCCCCUUUCUUUGCAAUUCUAGCUCAGUUUGCCAGCCUAAGUGCCAAAGACCAUCAAUGUCCAGGGACACAAUUCUUACCACAGCAAAGGGACCAGAUGCUCAAUGUGGAAAAUCAGAAACUUAACUCUUGUUGCAGUCAUCAGUGGUCCUUAAGAAUGCAGAGGAAAAGAACCAGAAGAUUUCUGUCCAAUGCAUCUUGCCUUAUCUUUUUUUUUUAACACAAAGAAACUUAAUGCUGUAUUUGAAAGCAAACACACACACACACACACACACACACACACAAGGGGACAGACCUUGAGGGACCCCCCUAUGCUUUAUUAAGCAACGGAGGGGCACUUUUUCAGGAGGAAAAUGGCAACUGGUUACAAUGGGGAUCUGAUUUUUAUAGAGUUAAGUGAGACUUAAUCAUACACACUUAAUCAUAGCAGAAUAUGUGGGCUGGGCAGUCAGAGAAAUAGUUGUAGAAUGGGAAAUUGUGAAAGUCCAGAGCCCAUUACUUUUCUUUUCUCCCUGCGGGUUGUUGUUUUCCAUACCCUUCUGUAUUAAUAAAUUCAGUGUGCAGUUUAAUUGGGGUAGUUUCAAAAGUCAUGAUUUUACAAUGAGUAAGUGCAGACUUUAAAAAAAAAAAAACUUCUUGAAGGUUGAGUGUGUCUACAAUGAAAUCGUACUUCUUGGCAGUUGGUAAAUUAUCUACUCUAACAUCUAUCAAAUUUGAAUUCCACUACAUUUAUUUUUUGCCAAAAGAUGAGUCAUAUUUGUUUGAAAUCUGAGACAGUAUGUUGAAUUUUGUACAUCUGUCCAAGUUUAUUUCUGCCAGCCGUGGAAAUCCUUCCGUGGACAUCACAACACUACAUUUAAGGUUAGUGUUGGUGACUUGCAAGUCCCUCAGAACCAAAAUUUUAAGGUUCUGAAUGUAGAUGGGGUGUCAACUAAGAGUUGCCAAAGGAGCCUGCUCUUCUCCCUUAAGACUUCCCCAAGAGUUCCAAAGAACUCACUGGCAAGGGCUCUGGACUGCUUGCUAUCCAAGUGUGACUGGAGGGACUGUAAUGAUUACUUUGGAUAUGAGACCCUACUUUUCUGAGAAACAGAGCACAACUUAUCUAUCACUUUCAUUUGCAGUUCCCAAAAGAUUGCCACAACCAUGUCCAUGCUCAGAUUCUAAUGAUUUUUCCUAUCAAUAUUGGAUAGUAAAGUGAUUUACAAUUCUUUUUAAAUUGAAAGCACCAAUUACCAUUCCUAAUAUUCUUUGUUUUUAACUGAGCUCUUGC
rnacentral:lncRNA from 1 species